GACGAACGCUGGCGGCGUGCCUAAUACAUGCAAGUCGAGCGGACUUACAAAGCUUGCUUUUUAAGUUAGCGGCGGACGGGUGAGUAACACGUGGGCAACCUGCCUGUAAGACUGGGAUAACUUCGGGAAACCGGAGCUAAUACCGGAUAAUCCUUUUCUACUCAUGUAGAAAAGCUGAAAGACGGUUUACGCUGUCACUUACAGAUGGGCCCGCGGCGCAUUAGCUAGUUGGUGAGGUAACGGCUCACCAAGGCGACGAUGCGUAGCCGACCUGAGAGGGGGAUCGGCCACACUGGGACUGAGACACGGCCCAGACUCCUACGGGAGGCAGCAGUAGGGAAUCUUCCGCAAUGGACGAAAGUCUGACGGAGCAACGCCGCGUGAGUGAUGAAGGUUUUCGGAUCGUAAAACUCUGUUGUUAGGGAAGAACAAGUACGAGAGUAACUGCUCGUACCUUGACGGUACCUAACCAGAAAGCCACGGCUAACUACGU
rnacentral:rRNA from 1 species